rnacentral:lncRNA from 1 species
CAAAUUUUGAGAGUAGGGCAGUAAAACUCCUAAAAGCUAUAACUUCUAAAGCGGACAGAGUGUGUACUUCAGCCAGCUGUGGCAUGGGGCUGGCUUUUCAUUCACUGUUAGCAUACUGAACUUGUUUUUCUAAAACUUAUCAAUUCCAUCCUUGGCAAAGUUAUUGGCCAAACUUUUCUAGGAAUGCGUGUUUCACACAUUAUUUGGUACUGGGAACAUCUCUAAUAUGUAUUCUUUUGGUUUGUACAAUUCUAGUUAAUGGACAUAAUUUCAAAGGCAAUUUGCUACAAAAUCAAACUAUGAACAUUUGAACUUCAAUGUGAUACCCAGUGUUCUUUGAGCAAUGUUGAAAUUCAUCCACGUGAUGAAUGUGGUAAGAAUGGAAGCAGUGACACUAAGUGUUACUGAUCCAGGCACUUCAUACACCACUCUCCCCACCCCUCAGGGCACGUGGGCUCCAUGCAUCAUAACCUUUUACAAACAUGGAAGAAGACUGAAGAGGAUGCAAGGUCCCAGGCCACACAGCCGAGAACUGGAGAACACACGUGCUGACCACUGUGCUGUCCAUGUUGCUGUGUUCAUAAGUAACCACCAUGAACAAGACACAGGCGAGAGCCAUGCGUGUCUCUGCCCUCUGGCUGGAGAAUACCAGCGCUCCCCUCAGGCCUCACAAACUUCUUUCCAGGUGGGUUUCCAAAGCGACUGUUCUGAGCCUCUAGCUUUCUUCCU